rnacentral:rRNA from 1 species
AGCUCCAGUAGCGUAUAUUAAAGUUGUUGCAGUUAAAAAGCUCGUAGUUGGAUUUCUGGCGCGGGUCGCCUGGCCCGCCGCCCUUCCGGGCGGUGAGUGCCGGCGCGGCCCUGCCAUCCUUCCAGAGAGGCCGCCUACCCUUCACUGGGCCCGGGCGGUCGAUCUGGAUCGUUUACUUUGAAAAAAUUAGAGUGUUUAAAGCAGGCUUACGCUUCUGAAUACAUUAGCAUGGAAUAAUGAGAUAGGACUUUGGUUCUAUUUUGUUGGUUUCUAGGACUAAAGUAAUGAUUGAUAGGGACAGUUGGGGGUGCUAGUAUUUGGCGGCCAGAGGUGAAAUUCUUGGAUUCGCUAAAGACUAACUAAUGCGAAAGCAUUCACCAAGGAUGUCUUCUUUAAUCAA